CAUUCAUAAUACAUCUUUAGCGUCCCAAAUCCUAACUCAUACUAUUGAGCUACAUCUUAACUCAUACAAAUGAGCUACAUCUUCAGAGACAAUUGUGCAUGUUCUUUCACUAUAGGAUGUGUCUUCUCCUCAUUCAUGUUCCACGCAAGGGAUAUCAUUGUCCUUCGACAUUUUAUUCCUUCAUGUCCUUGAACUUGUGACACAUCCACCAAGCAAUUGCAAGAACUCUUUCGCCUCUUUGCUUCAAGUUCAACUUCACUUUCUUCAUCUCAUAAUAUUCAGCAUAAUGUCUCAUGAAUAACUUUUACUCCAAUCAAUUUGCAUAAAACAAAUAAUGCUAACAAAAGUAAGAUUAUCCCAAAAAUAAUAUUUAACAAUAAACAAAUAAAAUCCUGCCUAGGAGUAACAUUUGUUCUUUCUCAAUAGUAUCACUAACAUAAUAUUAUCCUAGAGAAUAUUCGGAAAGGUUUGAUGAUAAAUACAACAUGGAAGAACCUUUUAACAGUCUCCUAGCUAACCUUGUUCCUGAUUUCUAAGACCUUCUUGUGAGAAUUUGAGUGCAAUGAUGCUUCAAAAGUUGGGCUAGCUGCAGGCCGGUAUUCUGGAAAGAGGCGACCAGACCUGUAUCGAACUCCACAAGCGUUGCAUAGGGUCCUUGAACCCUUAGGCCCCUCUCUCCAUUGUGGUGUCUCAGUUACCUCACAAUGCAUACAUUUUGUGGGGGUAGCUGAAUCUUGUAAUGCGGAUCUCUUCAUCUCAAUACCGUCAGAGAGUGAGGAGAUAUCCUUUUUGCUCGGCUUUCUUUGGACUUUGCUUGAUGAUUUGCCAGCACACUGUUUCUCCAAUUGAUGUUUUUGAAAAGCACUUGAGAGACGCUGGAGUUUAUUGCGAGGACGCUUUGCCGGGAUCACUGGUAACUCAAAGUUGAAGUUCUCAACUGAGGAGUAACUACUGCUUUCAAAAACUGAAACUGGGCUAUAGGUUUGGCAUUUUCGCAAAUUUGUUCCAUUGAAAGAGACCAUUUGGAUAACCAUAGUUUUGGUAGCGGCCUUUCGCAAAAUAUAAAACAAUCAGAAACACAAAUGAUGGAUAUGCCUAGCCUACAUAUCUGACUAUAGAAAUGAAAGAAAUUUUCAAUAGGACAUCUAUGUAGAACCAACACUUCAGAUUGAAAGUAUGUUAGAUGUCUGUCACGUGUCGAUGUUAGAUGAUAUUAGAUACUAACAUGACACCGAAACAUGUGAUUACAUUCAAUAAUGCUAUUUUCUCAAAUUAUUUAACGUGUCAGUCUAUGUUAGAUGUCAGUGUCGUGUCUAGUGUUCAUGUAUGUGUCAGUCUAUGUUGCAUGAAUACUGAUACCAGAAAUACGGUACCAGUACCGGGUAUGUGAUACGAUUUUUUUAGAAAAACUAAGGUACGACAACAUUAAGAAUUUACAAAGAAAAGUACUUCAAUCUUAAUCCUUGCUAUGAGACAGUGUCUACUUAUUUUGUGAUCAUAGAUCAAUCUUAGCCUAGUUGUAAUGUCAGCCACAUAUAAAUUCAUGAAUUUUACUCUAGUUAAAUUUAUGCCAACACGAAAGUCUUUGACAAAGGAAUGCCAUUACCAUGUUACCUAUCCAUAAACCAAUUUCUUGAGGAAUCAAGGAAGCCAACUUUACAUUAUUUUUGUAUAGAUACCAUCUAUCCAUCAUCACAUUAUAACGAAAACUAUUUCACUUUUUGAGGACAAUACCCUAAAAGGGUUAAGGCAUGAGUACUAUUUAUGAAGAUAAUAAGACAGAUUUUCAGCAUCAACUAUCAUAUUUUAAAAAUCAUCUGCAAAUUAAUCAUAUGUAAGAAAAUUGUACCUUUCAAGACAGAUUUUUUAGCAUAGCUUUUAGUCUUUUAUACUCAAUAAAUGCUACCGAAACCUUGAUUUGAGCUUACAACAAAAAAUGUACCCCAAUGACAAGAGACAUAACAGCACAUUUCAAUAAUCAAGCUCAUAAACUAAUUGCAUGAAAACUGAAUAUUUAGCCUUAUAGGGUAUAUAGCAUCUGAUUUUUCUCAUGUUAUCUCUCGUAUCUACAAAGAAGUUUGAUAACACAUCUAUCUCUAACAGAGCUAGAAGACAUUUCAAAAAGAGCUAGAAGACAUUAAAAUCAUCACAUUCUCCCCUUUCACUUACCAGUGCUUGUUGAUCUUUUAAGCUUGCAUUAACAUUAUUUCUUCUGUCAAUAUGAGAAAGUUCCUGCAUAACAUCAUUGUAGUAAUUCUCAAUUCCCGCUAAAAAUCCUGACCAACAAAAUGUCAUAUAGUCAUCAAAAGCAAGCAUACAAACUAUUCCAAUUAAAGAGGUGGAAAUCCUAUCAAACGACUUAGCCUUUGCAAGUUAACAUAGAAAACAUGACCCAAAUAAUGGAAAUAUGUGGUUCAAUGUUGAUGUAUUUAUGUAAUUUUGGUUUCACAUAUUCAAACGAUGCACAUCAUAUUAAUGAUUUAUCAAAUAUAAUCAUUAAGAAGAUAAAGACAUUCAUCCAAACUGCAAUGAUGGGAGCAGAAAACUCACAGCAGCAGCAAAAUUGUUGAUAGAAUUUGGUUUCUCAUUUUGAGUUUCGCCAUACAGCUCAGAUGAUGGUACCGAAAAAAUCCCAAGAGAUGGCUCUUCAAGGUGUUUGAAUUGAUCAUUCAAAUCAUGUUCCACGGCAUCAGUUUCCACAUCUUCAUGUGGGAAAUCAAAAAACUCAACAACAUCUUCAAGAAUCUCAUCCGACACACCGUUAAAAUUGUUGUCAAAAAACCAAUUGCUCUUCAUAUUAGCAUUAUCCUGAAAAAGAGUUAAGAGAAAACCAUCCAUCAGCAGUUGAGAAUUCAACCAGAACAUAUGUUGAGAAGAGUUGAGAUUGAACAACAUAUAAGUGAGAGGAUCCAUAAACCUAAUUCCUUCAAAUUUUGGGUGAAAGUGUGGUGUUAGAGUCACUUGUGUGGUUGCUCAAUGCUCAAUUUGCCGAUUGAGGCUCCCCCCUCACGGCCCAACAAUGGUUUCAGAGCCCGAUUGGGAGAGCAUUAAGUGAGUGACGAAGGAUUGUGGACUCGGAGAGACUCACUUGAGGGGAGAUGUUGGGAGUUAUCAAGUGUAAGUUAAGUCCCACAUUGGUUGCAAGAGUUGAGGUUGAGUACUUUAUAAGUGAAAGACCCAUAAACCUAAUACCUUAAGGUUUUGGAUGAAUUCAGCUUGAAUUUACUAAGAAAUCAUGUUUAUCCAAGUCAUGGAAAUGGUAAGCCUGAAAUGUCCACAAAGAUAACAAUAUGGGACUGUUACUACUAUGCUUCGAGGUUUCCACAACCAUUCAGGCUUACUAUGUAAAUGUUAGUUACUCAUUUGUUAGGAGAAAGAAGAAAUUUGCUACUAACAUCGAAAUCUAAACCUCGUUCUUAAUACAUCAUUAGCGUCCCAAAUCCUAACUCAUACUAUUGAGCUACAUCUUCCGAGACAAUUGUGCAUGUUCUUUCACUAUAGGAUGUGUCUACUCCUCAUUUAUGUUCCACGCAAGGGAUAUCAUUGUCCUUCGACAUUUUAUUCCUUCAUGUCCUUGAACAUGAGACACAUCCACCAAGCAAUUGCAAGAACUCUUUCGCCUCUUUGCUUCAAGUUCAACUUCACUUUCUUCAUCUCAUAAUAUUCAGCAUAAUGUCUCAUGAAAAACUUUUGCUCCAAUAAAUUUGCAUAAAACAAAUAAUGCUAACAAAAGUAAGAUUAUCCCAAAAAUAAUAUUUAACAAUAAACAAAUAAAUCUUGCCUAGGACUAACAUUUGUUCUUUCUCAAUAGUAUCACUAACAUAAUAUUAUCCUAGAAAAUAUUCGGAAAGGUUUGAUGAUAAAUACAACAUGGAAGAACCUUUUAACAGUCUCCUAGCUAACCUUGUUCCUGAUUUCUAAGACCUUCUUGUGAGAAUUUGAGUGCAAUG
rnacentral:lncRNA from 1 species